UAUGUCCUGAUCCACAGGCUGAGGGGGGAGGGGUGGCAUGGACUUUCGAAACCUCCAAGUCCACUCCAAUGACACACUUCUUCCAAUAAGGCCAUACCUGUGGUGAUAUUUUCUUGUGCUCUAACAAUUAAAGCUUGCCUGGAGAUCAGAGUGUUUACCUAGCUACUAGUUAACCAUAGAGGCCAGGCAGUGGUGACACACAUCUUAAAUCCCAGUACUUAUGAUGUCAUGCCUUUGAUUCCAGCACUUGGGAGGCACACACCUUUAAUUCCAGCACUAGGGAGGAGAAAACAGAAGUGAUAUGGCUGGACGGAGAGAGGAACAUAAAGCGUACAAUGACAGGAGCUCGGUCCCCUUUCAGACUAAGGAUUUGGUGAGGAUCCCCUAAAGAUGCCAUCACCCCCAGAGAGCAGGAAGUAAUUUUAAGAACAUGACUCCCACAUUCCAAAGAGGAGACAUGUCUGUUCCUGGAAGCAUCAAUCUACUUAAGAGAAGAUAAUGGGCAUCAAAGAAACUCCAUAUGAAGUUUAUUUACUUUGUGGCAAAAAUUAGCCACUGGGCAAGAAAAUGUCCUUGCAUUGACUGCUGACAGACAGUACACUGUCCAAAUGGGACAAGCAGGACACAAAAGAAAGGACUGCAGAACUUUGUCAAGACAAGGUAGAAUAACCCUUCAGAAAAUCCUGCUUCACAGAUAAGCCUGUCAGAUAUUUUAGACCUGUAGGCUGAAGAUGGAUGCCCCGACAUUACAGAGGAACCUCGAGUGACUGUCCAGGUAGCCAGCUGUUUUUGUCAUUUCUCAUAUUUUUAGAAGUCACUUGCCUGCACUUCCUGCUUGCUCAGGUAAUAUUAUUUCCUUCUCGAGUCUCUGAUGGGGUUGAAGACUUUAUAGUUAUAGUUUUCCUUGUUACCUGAUUCAGAGAAGAAAUUCACUAAAGAGGUGUAAAGUGUAUGAUGUUGAGAGACAUUGAAAGAUAGUUUGGGGGGCUUGAGAGAUGGUUCAGAGGUUAAAAGCACUGGCUGCUCUUCCAGAGGUCCUGAGUUCAAUUCCCAGCAACCACAUGGUGGCUCACAACCAUCCCUAAUGAGCUCUUGUGCCCUCUUCUGGCGUCCAGUCAUACAUGCAGACAGAACAUUGUAUAUAUAAUAAAUAAAUAAAUCUUUAAAAAAAAAGUUUUGGUAAUGCAAGUUAGAAUAGAAAGUGAAUUAGGUGCAACUUUUUGGACUCACCAAGAUAGGGUAGAUAUGGAGUAUUUUCUCUGAAUUUGUCAAUUGUUAAUGGACUAGACAUUGCUGAUGCAUUUAUUGCCUGUACAUAUUAUAUAUAGUUAUUGUACUUAUUGUAUGUAGUUUUAUUUACAUUAGUUAUAAUGUUCUUUUUUUAAAUUUUAUCAAAAAGGGGGAAAUGUGGUGAUAUUUUGUUUGUGCUCUAACAAUUAAAGCUUGCCUGGAGAUCA